rnacentral:rRNA from 1 species
GCGUGUGGGAUGACGGCUCUAGGAUUGUAAACCUCUUUCAGGAGGGAAGAAAAUGACGGUACCUCCACAAGAAUGCCCCGGCCAACUACGUGCCAGCAGCCGCUGUAAUACGUAGGGGGCGAGCGUUGUCCGGAUUUAUUGGGCGUAAAGAGCUCGUAGGCGGUUCAACAAGUCGGUCGUGAAAGUUUAGGGCUUAACCCUGAAAUGUCGAUCGAUACUGUUGUGACUAGGAUAUGGUAGAGGUGAGUGGAAUUCCGAGUGUAGCGGUGAAAUGCGUAGAUAUUCGGAGGAACACCAAUUGCGAAGGCAGCUCACUGGACCACUAUCGACGCUGAGGAGCGAAAGCUAGGGGAGCAAACAGGAUUAGAUACCCUGGUAGUCCUAGCUGUAAACGAUGGAUACUAGAUGUAGGAAUUGGAUUGACGAUUUCUGUAUCGUAGCUAACGCGUUAAGUAUCCCGCCUGGGGAGUACGGUCGCAAGACUA